rnacentral:rRNA from 2 species
AUUGAACGCUGGCGGCAGGCCUAACACAUGCAAGUCGAGCGGAUGAAGGGAGCUUGCUCCUGGAUUCAGCGGCGGACGGGUGAGUAAUGCCUAGGAAUCUGCCUGGUAGUGGGGGAUAACGUCCGGAAACGGGCGCUAAUACCGCAUACGUCCUGAGGGAGAAAGUGGGGGAUCUUCGGACCUCACGCUAUCAGAUGAGCCUAGGUCGGAUUAGCUAGUUGGUGGGGUAAAGGCCUACCAAGGCGACGAUCCGUAACUGGUCUGAGAGGAUGAUCAGUCACACUGGAACUGAGACACGGUCCAG